rnacentral:lncRNA from 1 species
UGGCCAUCCUGAGUAUCAAGGCCCAUAACUUUCUAUAAAUACCUAAACAACAGCACUAUACAUAAAAUAUAGGUAUAGGACAGAUCUAAAAGACUGAUAUUUUAUUCACAGGAUCACCACCAAGGAAAUUAAUCUGUGCUUCUUAAUAUGACCAUUGACUCUACAAGAUUGUGCAGACUUACCUCAAAUACAGGCACUGAAACAA